rnacentral:rRNA from 1 species
GACGAACGCUGGCGGCGUGCUUAACACAUGCAAGUCGAACGGAAAGGCCCCUUCGGGGGUACUCGAGUGGCGAACGGGUGAGUAACACGUGAGUAACCUGCCCUUGACUUCGGGAUAACUUCAGGAAACUGGGGCUAAUACCGGAUAGGAAUCCUUGCUGCAUGGUGGGGGUUGGAAAGCUUCGGCGGUUUUGGAUGGACUCGCGGCUUAUCAGCUUGUUGGUGGGGUAGUGGCUUACCAAGGCUUUGUCGGGUAGCCGGCCUGAGAGGGCGACCGGCCACAUUGGGACUGAGAUACGGCCCAGACUCCUACGGGAGGCAGCAGUGGGGAAUAUUGCACAAGGGGCGGAAGCCUGAUGCAGCAACGCCGCGUGCGGGAUGACGGCCUUCGGGUUGUAAACCGCUUUCAGCAGGGGCGAAGCUUGUGGUGACGGUACCUGCAGAAGAAGCACCGGCUAACUACGUG